AAAAAAAAACUGAAUACAUUAUACACAUUUUCCUGCAAGUUUUCAUUUAUUUUUUUUCAAAACCAGAAGUUGCCUCAAUAUGUCUUUCUGAAAAUGUAAAUAAUCAAAGGGUACUUAUUUUAGUUGAUUAUGGAAAUACCUUCAAUAUCAAAAUCCAGUUUUCAGAUAAAAAAAAGCAACAUGUUAUUGAUUUGUAGUGUUAUAUGAU
rnacentral:lncRNA from 1 species